UGACUGCUUGGUUACUUUUAAAAACUGC
rnacentral:piRNA from 1 species